UACGUAGGGGGCAAGCGUUGUCCGGAGUUACUGGGCGUAAAGGGCGCGUAGGCGGCUUACAUAGUUAGGCGUGAAAUUCCUGGGCUCAACCUAGGGACUGCGUCUAAUACAUGUAGGCUUGAGUGUGAAAGAGGGUCGUGGAAUUUCCAGUGUAGAGGUGAAAUUCGUAGAUAUUGGAAAGAACACCGGUGGCGAAGGCGGCGACCUGGUUCAUUACUGACGCUGAGGCGCGAAAGCGUGGGGAGCAAACAGG
rnacentral:rRNA from 1 species